rnacentral:rRNA from 1 species
GUCUACGGCCAUACCACCCUGAACGUGCCCAAUCUCAUCUGAUCUUGUAAGCUAAGCAGGGUCGGGCCCGGUUAGUACUCGGAUGGGAAAAUGAUCUCAGGGUGAUCUGGUCC